rnacentral:lncRNA from 1 species
AACUGCGGCGCACUAUUUGUCACCAACUGCCUUCUUCAUCGCAUUACCAAUUCGCAAUCAUGGACUACUUGUGCUGCCCCUGCCUGCUACACCGAGGCCCCUAAUUUUUACAACACUCAAGUGCCCAAGUACUACUCUACAUAUUACGGUGCCCUGAGCUGCUCCAAGUCGUUUAAGAGGAGAGACAAGGUGGUAGAAAUCAGUCGAGUGAGGAUCUCCGACACGGCAACAACUGUCGUGCACUAUCUGUCACCUACUGCAUUCCUCACCCUGUUAAUCAUUCGCAAUCAUGGGUACAAUUGCCGCUAGGUUCGAGUUGGAUGGUGAAUGAGGAAGGGAAAAUCGUAUUAAACGAGAGAAAGGGAGAACCGAGUCAGUCGAAUGAGCAUCUCCGACACGGCAACAACUGCAGCGAAGCAGCGCACUAUCUGUCAACUGCAUUCCUCAUGCUGUAACCAAUUCGCAAUCAUGGUGUCGUGCUGGUGUUGGGUGUUGUAUCGCUGAUGGCUGGGUCGACCACUGGUGUACCGAUGUCUUAUUGCUAUGGCGAAUACUGAACCGCACUGCCACCGCCUUACUACACAACAACAACUUACGCAAUGACCAGUUACUACACCGAGGCCACCAAGUACUACACCACUAAGGCACGGGAGUACUACACGACUAACUAAUCAUGCUGCUCCAUCCUACUAUGUACAAUAAGGCUACCAAGUACUACUGUUCCCAGCUACUGCACCGAGGUUCCAGCUCAUUACUCCACCAAAACGGUUGAAUACUACACUGAAGCACCAAAGUACUACUCUGCCCCGAUCUACCCAACCACAGCUGAGGCGGCCAAGUCUCAGCCCCGACUUACUACACAGAAGCUGCUCCCUCGUACUACGUUGCACAGAAAUACUACCAGUUAACUACACCACAACCUACGCUACACCUAGCUACUACACCGAAGCCCCCAAGUACUACACCGGCAAGGUCGAAUAUUACACAACCACUAUGCUGUCCCAGUCUACUACACCGAAGCCUCCAAGUACUACCUAGUCAAGGUCGAAUAUUACACAACCGCUAUGCUGCCCCAGUCUACUACACCGAACCUAAGUAUUACUCUGCUCCAAGCCUUUACUAAAUAGAGGUUCCUGUUUACUACACCACACAGCCCCCGAAGUAUUAUACUACAACCUACGCUGCCACCAGGUACUACACUGAGGCUCCCAGCUGCUGGGGAUUGGACAUCACCAAGGAACCCGAGUAUUACACCACUACUUACGCUGCUCCGACCUACUACACCGAAGCUGAAGCUCCGAAGCACUACUCUGCUCCGAGUUACUACACUACUAAGGCAUCUGAAUAUUACACCACAACCUACGCUUCCCCAACUUACUACAAGGAGGCUCCUAAAUACUAGAUCCGAAAUUUCUAUAUUAUUUAAUCAUGUUUAAAUUUGGCGUUUAUCUUCAUGGUUAUUAGACACUGGGAAUUGAUUGUUGAUCUUUAUUGAAAAUAAAUAUUUGUAAUGCGGUAAA